rnacentral:rRNA from 1 species
GGAACGAACGCUGGCGGCAUGCCUAACACAUGCAAGUCGAACGCCUGUAGCAAUACAGGAGUGGCGCACGGGUGAGUAACGCGUGGGAACCUGCCCUGGAGUAGGGGAUAACCGAGGGAAACCUCGGCUAAUACCGCAUACGACCUGAGGGUGAAAGAUUUAUCGCUCUAGGAGGGGCCCGCGUCGGAUUAGCUAGUUGGUGAGGUAACGGCUCACCAAGGCGAUGAUCCGUAGCUGGUCUGAGAGGAUGAUCAGCCACACUGGGACUGAGACACGGCCCAGACUCCUACGGGAGGCAGCAGUGGGGAAUAUUGGACAAUGGGGGCAACCCUGAUCCAGCAAUGCCGCGUGAGUGAUGAAGGCCUUAGGGUUGUAAAGCUCUUUCGGCGGGGACGAUGAUGACGGUACCCGCAGAAGAACGCCCCGGCUAACUUCGUGCCAGCAGCCGC